AGUAGUCAGAGGGGUACUUCAGCCAUGGUCUGCUGGAGUCAUCCUCCUACUUUUAUACCACCUGCUCAGUGAGGGCCACCCUUUGUGGUCAUAAGCAAAUGUUGUUGUGUGAUGUUAAGUUUACUGUUUAUGUGAAGUCUGUUUAUGGUUUA